rnacentral:tRNA from 1 species
GCCCCUCUGGCGGAAUUGGUAGACGCACAGGUUUUAGGUACCUGCGCCGAGAGGCGUGCCGGUUCGAGUCCGGCGGGGGGCA